rnacentral:rRNA from 1 species
GACGAACGCUGGCGGCGUGCUUAACACAUGCAAGUCGAACGGAGUGGCGAACGGGUGAGUAACACGUGGGUGAUCUGCCUUGCACUUCGGGGUAAGCUUGGGAAACUGGGUAUAAUACCGGAUAGUGCAAGAUGAGCUCGCGGCAGAUCAGCUUGUUGGUGGGGUAAUGGCCUACCAAGGCGUAGACGGGUAGCCGGCCUUAGAGGGGGUACGGCCAAGUUGGUACUGAGAUACGGCCCAGAUGCCUACGGGAGGCAGCAUUGGGGAAUAGUGAACAAUGGGCGGAAGCCUGAUGCAGCGACGCCGCGGGGGUGAUGAAUGCCUUAGUGUUGUAAACUCCUUUCGACAGGGACGCGGUACCUGUAUAAGAAGCACCGGCUAACUACGUGCCAGCAGCCGCGGUAAUAC